rnacentral:misc_RNA from 1 species
CGGUACUGCUACCCACGCGCCAUUUUUAUCAAGCAGACAAAGCGUGAACAGUCAGCACCAUGGGGUCGAAAGAAGCUGAUCGUCCGGGCAAGAUUUUUGUGGGAGGCUUGCCUGAUGUGUAUGGAGAACAAGAACUUGAGAAAGCUUUUGCAAGAUUUGGAAAAAUAACUGAAGUACUACUUAUUAAAGACAGACAGACAUCAAAGUCCCGUGGUUAUGGAUUUGUGACAUUUGAGAAUCCACAAGAUGGAAUUGAUGCUGUUAAACUUAUGGAUGGAAAGACAUUGGAAGGAAAGACGAUCAAAUGUGAACAGGCCAACAAACCGUCUGAGGGCCCCAGGGGACGCGGGGGGAUGUCUGAGCGGGGGAUGAGACCUCUGAGAGGGCGUGGUGGACCCCCUAGGGGAGGAUUUGCUGGCAGUCGUGACGGCUACAGUAAUGGCGGAGGAGGAGGUUUCCGAGGACGAGGUGGACCCCCAGGACGAGGGAUAGGGCGUGGACGGCGGGGAGGCCCUUUUUCCGAUAGUGGUGGACGCUCCUUUGAACGAGACGGUGGAGGAUUUGGUCGAGACGGUGCAGGGUUUGCGAGAGAGGGCGAUACCUUUGGACAAGAGCGUGCUUCGUUUGGGAGAGAAAGGACGGCUUUUGGAAGAGAGAGUCAUGGCACCAGCGGAGGGCGCAGAGGAGGUUAUUCCCGUGUAAGUCAAGAGGAGCUGUAUGGCGAGGUGGACAGUUAUGGUGGAGAGGCACACAGGGGGACGUACGACACUUAUGUUAGUGAGAGCCAGACCAGACCUAGAGCGCCGCCUCCACAGGCCAGAGAGUACUCCUCCAGGGAGCAGAGAGACUAUGGCAGAGGAAUCCAGGAUCUGGACUACAAGGCACAGGACUAUGGUCGGGGAGCAAGGACCGCCAUCCCCAGGGACGACUACUCCAGGGAGGAGUACCCCACGAGUAGGCGUGACUACCCAGCUACAAGGAGAGGCGAGCCUCAACCCAGAGGAAGAGAGAUGUUGCCACCGUCAGCUCGGGAAUACUCAGAACAAGGACGCGAAUAUGAACAGAGCAGCCGUGACUUUUCUUCAAUCCGUGCAAGAGGGGUCAUCCCGAGCUCUCGUGAUUAUGACGUCGCUGGUGGAGAGUACGUGGAGGCGCAUGUGGAAGAUUACGAGGCUGCCCCACCUGCUAGAGGGUACAGAGCCGCCAGGGAGUAUGAGAAUGGAAGCUCAAGGGAAUAUGGGGCCAGUGCCAGGGAGUAUGCAUCUUCCAGAGACCAAUAUGGAGAACGGAAAGCUCUCAUGCAGGCUCCUCGCGCACGCCCAUCUCUAGACGGUUACGGAAGGAGCAGUUAUGAUAAAGAAGAUGAAUACGAAAGCUAUGAUUCUGGAUUAUUACCUGCUGUCUGCCAAGGUUAAUUCUGAGGGCAGAUUUCAAGGGAAAAAGAACUCUUCAUGCUCUAGGGGUUAGAAGAAGUCUGUACCUGGAAGGUAUUGUAUUUAGCUGCCAUGGCCAGCAUGAAGACCAUCUGGAUAAUAGACUGGCAAUUCGUCCACAGCCUCACACUUCACUGGAUGUGGGACUGGACUGUGUGGCAGCAACACAGCACAUUACAUGGCAUCGCCAACACUGUAUUCUCCAUGGUAACAUAAGACAUCUUCAUUGCACCGUGUAUAAUAAGACCUUGCAUGGCAUCUCCAACAUACUGUGUAUGGAAUCCCCUUGGUAACUUACAGGACGUCUUCAUUGUAACUUUAUGGCUUCUCCAUGGUAACAUAGGACAUCGUGAUGGUACCGUGUAUGGCACCUUGCAUGCCAUCUCCAACACUGUGGGAACUUUAUGGCUUAUCCAUGGUAACAGGACAUCUUCAUGGUGCUGUGUAUGGCACUACCUUACAGGGAAUGCUCAUGAUCCAUGGUAACUGACAGGGCAUCUUCAUUGUACUGUGAAUUGCAUCUCCAUAACACUCUACAGAACAUAUUCAUGGUACAAGUAUGCCAUCCUUAAGGUACUGUGUAUGACAUCUCCAUGGUAACUCACAUGGCAGCAUCAUGGUACCUUGCGUGCCAUGGCCAUGGUAUGGCUUGCUUAUGACACUGUGUGGAAUAUACCAUGGCUACAGAGAGAAUUCCUUUCACUAGAUAUUUCUCUGGCAGUUUAUUUGCACUUAUCAGUACUGUGUUCAGCAAGAACAUUAAAAAAACGGUGUCAUGGCCCAGCUGACUUUUAGUAGAGAGAAUUAAUCUUCAUGGUACCAUGUGUGGAAUUGUUUUAAUAUGGAACAUAGUAUAACCUCUCGGGUUAUGUGUAUGUGUCUACUCCACAUAUAUACCCGUACAUUGUGAAGGUGUUAUGACACCACUUUGACUGGCAGACAGACAGAGUGUAGUGGUAGGCAAAAGUUGACUCCGGGAAAUUGGUCAUCGUAAGCCUUGACAUUGUCACAAUUGCUGGUGGUCAAAUUGAUAGUGACUGACUAUACUGUAAAAAUAGAAAGCUUGACUUUAUAGAAAACAGACAGACACCCAGUCUUCAACAGAGCCAGUGGCAAGGGAAAGCUCCAGUGGGAUUAUGCCUUUACCAUGUUGCAAGCGCGUCAUCACGACUUUCUCUCUUCGUGCAGUGUACCCGUUGUAGUUUAGGCUUAGUUCUUUACAUUGUGAUAUUGUUUCGGCCAUUUCACUGUUUAUUAUUUAAACGUCAUUGAUUGUGAGAAAAAUUGAGUGAGGGAGCGUUUCAUUUUUGUUUUUAUCAACCUAUACCUAACUGAAAUUUCGAUAUAAAAAAUUAAGUUUCUUUGGAUUG